UUGGACUCUGCAUGGUUUUUCACUGGCUGACUUUCCUUUCAGAGAGCAGCAAAGGCCCCAAAUGGGGAUCUGCAGGUCAGGUGGCUUCAUCGUGAAAGACACCAUGGAAAUGCAGUGUAUUGUUGCUGGUGCUGUCACAGAGGCAACACGGGGGCUGGAGGUUACAGUCCCUGAAACUUUGGCCCAGGCUGGCACUGGGCAGGGUGGCAGUGACCCAGCUGGGCUUACAGGGGUGGCUCUUUGCCUGAACUGCAGCAGAACUGUUGGACUCACUGGUUUCCUUCAGGAUGCAGAUUCACUGCUCUGGCUUCUCCUCUGGAAACGUACCCAGCAUGUCCCUGGCUACUCCAAUCCCAUUUGAUAACCAGCAAAGCAGAAAUAGUGCUUUCAUGCUUCCUACAUAUUAGCUUGAGUGACUUGUGUAAAGAAAAUAUUGGCCAGAGAAUGAAUCCAGAGUGCAAAAUGUGCUGGUUUUUACGUGCUGUUUGUGCUAGUGUUUACCCAUGCCUCAACCAAAAAUAGCAGCCUUUGGAGAUAUUUAGUAUUUUCCUCCUCAUCAGCUCAUAACAUUCCUGUUGCUGUUGUCUGGCAGAGACUGUCUGAGCUGCAGAGCCGGUUCUGCCACCCUUGGCGGCUCUUUUCCUCUUGGCAGGGGUGAGCUGGCUCAGUGCUGCUGCUCCUGCUCGUGUCCUCUGCAGAGCUUUCCUUGGUCCUCCUCCUCCUGGAGCCUGGGGAGGGUGCUGGGGGAUUACCUCAUUUCCACCUCCUCUGAAAUAAAUCCUCAUUAUGGAUUUGCACCUGGGGAGGAAGAAGCUGAUUUCCACUCCCAGCCGGUUCUGAGCAGAUAUUUGAAGAGGUCCAGAAAUGGAAAACCAGUCUAAAAGCACUGCAGCUGUGUCCCAGAGCCUGUACCACGGUGAGGGCACAGGGGAUGUGGCCUCAGGCUCUUCAAAGCCUCUGCAGCUGCCUCUGGACCUGAACUGUUGUGACUCCAUGUUGUCCAAGUAAUUACAUACAAGACCAUGGAGAGAGAUCAAAUCCUGCCAUCUCCCUUGGAUCCUGGAAACAGCCUCUUAAGGCACCCUUGAGCCUCGUUAAAGGAAACAAAUCAAAGUGCUGCACCAGAGGAUUGCAGGUAAAGCUGUGCUCCUGAGGACCUGCCUCUUCUAGAUAGCCCCGUGUAUGGGGAGUGAAACAUUUCCAGGAGAUUCGAUUCCAGCUGGGGCCUGGGGAAAUUCCGCAGCUCCACCAACCAUCCGUCACCACUCGCUCGGGGAGGAGCGAGAAAUCCAUCACCAUCUUCUUCUGGAGCAGCUGUGGGGAUGGCAGGAGGAGCAGCAGUGCAGACUGCCCUCCCUGCACGUGGAGAAGAGCCAAAAUCGGGGCAAGGGAGCAGCUUUCAGCCUCUCCUUCCCCUCCUGCCGUGCUGCUCCCCCAGCAGCUCUGCUCCCCGUGCCUGUGCAGCUGUGCUGGCUGGCAGCAAUUACUGCUGGUUCCUGCACAGCCUUUGUUUUGGACUCCUCAUGAUGGUGGCUGUUACACCCCUAGGGCAGCAGUCAGUGUCCACUCAGGUGCCAUUGGUGUGUCCAUGCUGUUGGCUGUCCAUGCAGCCUGGCUCAGGGAAUGUCACUGUCCUCAAAACCAAAAUGCCUUCAGGGGCUUGUGCUCUCUCCCAGAGAGACAACCUCCUCCUUCCUCCUCCUGCUCCUCCUCCUCUCUGCAGGGCUGGCUCCUGGGAUCACUCACACCCAGGAGGGACUGGAUCUCUGCAAAGUGCCAGGUGGCAUCCACGGGGAAGAGGCAGAUGUUGCAGGAUGACAGGAUGGAGAUCCAGCCUCUGGACUUGGUUCCUUGCCUCGCUGCCUGCAGAGGUCAGCAGUGCUGGAGUCCCUGAGGGAUGUGGGCAGCCCUGCUCCUUCCCAGGCCAGGAAAAGAAGAGAAACACUUCAUGAUCCUUAAACUUGUUAAAUUUAAAACUUGAAAAGGCACCUUCAUGCUUUCAAUCGUUUUUACUGCUUCUAAUGCAACUGGUCUAAGCUUUCCUAGAAGACCCAGAGGGAAACCAGGGAAGAUCAGAUGUGACAUUCUGGACUUGGCGUGUGAAAAGCAACUGGGGAAAAAAUAGAAUAAAGUGAAGUACAGAGAGACUUGAGGCUGCACUUGAUACGCUGAGAGGAGAAUAAAGAGGCACAAAACCACGUGCAGCCACUGGAGCCGCUUCAGCAAAGGGGGAUUCUGGCGUGAAACACCCCACAAAAAUGUGUUGCAUUUGCUGUUGCCAUAGCACACGGAGGAAACCUGGAACACGGGGUGAGUCACUGGGGUGAAGCAUUUGUCCCAAACCCCCUGUCCUGGAAACCUUUUGGCAGGGAUGGACUUUACAGACUGGAUAGGUCGUGGUGGGAGUUACUGGGACCAGUCAGGGAGUGUCUGCCCAGGCUGGUCACGCCCUCCUCCCUGUGCUCAGAGCCCCAGCCCCAGUCCUGGGGACAGAUGUGCAGCUGUGAUGCACAACUGUGCAAAUCCAGGGGGAAAUGGUAAUUACUUUUCAAAGCAAGAUUUGUCCCUAAAUCUGUGUUUAAGUCUCAAGGGAAGGCCAGAUCCCCAUGAAGUGAUCUAGCAGAAGCUGUUCCCUCUGGGGGCUGGUUGUGGGACCUUUCCAUGAUCCAAGUUUGCUGCAGGGACUUGGACACCAACAUAACACACUAUUCACCUGCAAAUCAUUUCCUGUUUUAAAAACCUCUCAGAAAGGGGGAAAGAUUGAAUUUGCUGGCUGGUUUGGUUGUGUUUGCAGCAGCUUGGGAAAUAAUUGAAAGAGAAAAUGAGUGUAGAGUGAGCGUGGAGGUCCCACAGGGCUCAAGCCACAGAGGAGCCACCAGGGGUGGGUUUAAAGCUCCUGCCCAAUCCUCCUGCUUUACUAAAUAAAGAAAACAUUAUAUAAA